AUUGAACGCUGGCGGCAUGCCUUACACAUGCAAGUCGAACGGCAGCACGGGUGCUUGCACCUGGUGGCGAGUGGCGAACGGGUGAGUAAUACAUCGGCACAUGUCCUGUAGUGGGGGAUAGCCCGGCGAAAGCCGGAUUAAUACCGCAUACGAUCUACGGAUGAAAGCGGGGGCCCUUCGGGCCUCGCGCUAUAGGGUUGGCCGAUAGCUGAUUAGCUAGUUGGUGGGGUAAAGGCCUACCAAGGCGACGAUCAGUAGCUGGUCUGAGAGGACGACCAGCCACACUGGGACUGAGACACGGCCCAGACUCCUACGGGAGGCAGCAGUGGGGAAUUUUGGACAAUGGGCGAAAGCCUGAUCCAGCAAUGACGCGUGUGUGAAGAAGGCAUUCGGGUUGUAAAGCACUUUUGUCCGGAAAGAAAUCCUUGGCUCUAAUACAGUCGGGGGAUGACGGUACCGGAAGAAUAAGCACCGGCUAACUACGUG
rnacentral:rRNA from 1 species